UUGAGCCUCCAGGAAUGGGCCUCAUAAUCAAAGUGCUGAUUUUAACAUUUACAUUACUUAUAAUCUUCUAAUAAUUUCUAAAGCCAGCACACUACCCAUGAUUCAGAAGUGCACCAAGCAACAGACAACAUGAAGGAAAGAUGCAUAUGAAGUCCCAGCCCUUUCUUCUGCAAUUUGACACUGAACUCAAGUCAAUAAAAUUCUAUUUCAACACCUGAAAGUCACUCCUGGGCUUCUGCACUGCAGUAUUUGACUGCCACUUUGUGAUUUCAGGUCUGCCUUGUGAGGUUAUCCCAGGCCAACUCGGACAGAGAGACAGAAGCGUCGUAUGGCUGCUCCACAGAGGACCCCAUGCUGGCAAAUCCAAUCAAGUUCCAGUGCUGCAAUGAAGCUAUAUUACUGCUGUGAUUCCAGUGAGUAUUCCAUGUGCAAAGCCAUUAUUGCAUUGUCUCCCAAACAUUGCAUUGCUAGGUUUUCUUCUAGUCAUCAGGAGGAGAGUGAUCUAGUUUGUUCCUUUGAAAAUAUCAUAUGCAGGGGAGAGCACUGGGUGCUUCUGCUCCUCCACUAAACACCACAGGAGUCUGGGUAAUUCACUUUUCAUUGUUUGGAAAUCACAGAAAUUCAUGUUCAUUUUCUAAGAUUUUCUGUAGGAGCCUUGUGACAUAUUCCAAGGGCUAGUGGCAGGGGGGCAGCUCCCCUUAAUAUAGGAAAUCUUCAGAUUAGCUCUUAAUGCAAGACUAUUGUCACAUGCUCUCAGCUUCAUAGGCAGAGAGGUACAAGAGUUAACAGUCUGUCCACACCCAUGUGAAGGCUGCAGGAAAAUCCAGCAUCCCAAGGACCCAAUUUUGUGCAACUAAAGUGACGAGGUCCAGAAACAACCCUGCUCAUUGUGCUUGUCCUGUGAACAUGCAGGGAGGUGAGAAUGACAGGCAGCAGCUCCCAGCAGCCUUCCCCACUUGGCCAUGAUGAUAAAAUACUCAUGAGUUGGUAACAAGUCUGGCAGCUUCCUUCGGGUUGGAGCUAUUAAUCUUCUCUGGCAUAAGCUCCUCACAGUGUUUGCAGAGAAAUCCAAGAGCCCUAAACCAUCCCAGCCAGCUUUACUAAUUAUUUUCUCAUUUCCUUUUAUAUAAGUGAAGUUACCUUAGCCAUAACUCAGUCUGAACAUUUUCUAGAUGUGCCUUCUAAUUGGACUGGCUCAAAAUAAGCACCCAAAAAGCCCCAGGAAGGCUCUUAAUUAUUCUGCAAAAUAAGGAUAUUCAAACUUUUCACAUGGCUAUUUUCUAUUUUCUUUGCUCUGAAAAUUCUAACUUAUCCAUAUAUGUUAUUUCCCUCCUUCAAAGUAAGAGUUGCCGUUGGGGUUUGUUUUUUUCCCUUUUUCCCGCUGUGGAAUUUUCCCCAUUGUUAUAUUAAGAAAGCUGUUGA